rnacentral:rRNA from 1 species
UGCAGUCGAACGAUGAAGCUGGAGCUUGCUCCGGUGGAUUAGUGGCGAACGGGUGAGUAACACGUGAGAAAUCUGCCCCUGACUCUGGGAUAACUGCGGGAAACUGUAGCUAAUACCGGAUACUUUCCCUGGUGGGCAUCCACUGGGGAAGAAAGAAUUUCGGUCAGGGAGGAUCUCGCGGCCUAUCAGCUAGUUGGUGAGGUAACGGCUCACCAAGGCGACGACGGGUAACCGGCCUGAGAGGGUGACCGGUCACACUGGGACUGAGACACGGCCCAGACUCCUACGGGAGGCAGCAGUGGGGAAUAUUGCACAAUGGGCGCAAGCCUGAUGCAGCAACGCCGCGUGAGGGAUGAAGGCCUUCGGGUUGUAAACCUCUUUUAGCAGGGAAGAAGCGAAAGUGACGGUACCUGCAGAAAAAGCACCGGCUAACUACGUGCCAGCAGCCGCGGUAAUACGUAGGGUGCAAGCGUUGUCCGGAAUUAUUGGGCGUAAAGAGCUCGUAGGCGGUUUGUCACGUCUGCUGUGAAAAUCCAAGGCUCAACCUUGGACUUGCAGUGGGUACGGGCAGGCUAGAGUGCGGUAGGGGAGAUGGGAAUUCCUGGUGUAGCGGUGGAAUGCGCAGAUAUCAGGAGGAACACCAAUGGCGAAGGCACAUCUCUGGGCCGUAACUGACGCUGAGGAGCGAAAGCGUGGGGAGCGAACAGGAUUAGAUACCCUGGUAGA